GGAAUUGUUCGCAAUGGGCGCAAGCCUGACGACGCAACGCCGCGUGGAGGAUGAAGAUCUUCGGGUCGUAAACUCCUGUCGAGCGGGACGAACACUGUUCGGGUGAAUAGCCCGGAGAGCUGACGGUACCGCUAAAGGAAGCCCCGGCUAACUCCGUGCCAGCAGCCGCGGUAAUACGGGGGGGCAAGCGUUGUUCGGAAUUACUGGGCGUAAAGGGCUCGUAGGUGGCCAACUAAGUCAGACGUGAAAUCCCUCGGCUUAACCGGGGAACUGCGUCUGAUACUGGUUGGCUUGAGUUUGGGAGAGGGAUGCGGAAUUCCAGGUGUAGCGGUGAAAUGCGUAGAUAUCUGGAGGAACACCGGUGGCGAAGGCGGCAUCCUGGACCAACACUGACGCUGAGGAGCGAAAGCCAGGGGAGCAAAC
rnacentral:rRNA from 1 species